rnacentral:rRNA from 1 species
AUUGAACGCUGGCGGCAUGCCUUACACAUGCAAGUCGAACGGCAGCAUGAUCUAGCUUGCUAGAUUGAUGGCGAGUGGCGAACGGGUGAGUAAUACAUCGGAACGUGCCCUGUAGUGGGGGAUAACUAGUCGAAAGAUUGGCUAAUACCGCAUACGACCUGAGGGUGAAAGUGGGGGACCGCAAGGCCUAAUGCUAUAGGAGCGGCCGAUGUCUGAUUAGCUAGUUGGUGGGGUAAAGGCCCACCAAGGCGACGAUCAGUAGCUGGUCUGAGAGGACGAUCAGCCACACUGGGACUGAGACACGGCCCAGACUCCUACGGGAGGCAGCAGUGGGGAAUUUUGGACAAUGGGGGCAACCCUGAUCCAGCAAUGCCGCGUGUGUGAAGAAGGCCUUCGGGUUGUAAAGCACUUUUGUCCGGAAAGAAAUCGCACUUACUAAUAUUAGGUGUGGAUGACGGUACCGGAAGAAUAAGGACCGGCUAACUACGUGCCAGCCGCCGCGGUAA